GGCUCUGAGGCUGAUCUGGCUGCAACAUCUGUCAUCAGCUGAUCUGACUGUCUGGGCUGCUGUCCCCUUCCUCCCUCGUGGCUCCAUGUGUGUCCCUCCCGAACCUGAGUGUUUGGUUAAAGAAGACAACCUUCCUCAAAUAGAGAACAGAUCUCCAGUCAAGGGCACACAAGUAGCUGCCCUCCCAUUAGGACCUCCAACCAAGUUCUCAAAAGCACAAGGAGAUGCCACCACAAACCCAUAAAACGGUGAAUAUAUGAGGUACUUGUAACC
rnacentral:snRNA from 1 species